rnacentral:rRNA from 1 species
CCCGGGUAUUGCCCCAGUAGCGGCGAGUGAAGCGGCAAGAGCUCAGAUUUGAAAUCGUGUUUCGGCACGAGUUGUAGAGUGUAGGCGGGAGUCUCUGUGGAGCGCGGUGUCCAAGUCCCUUGGAACAGGGUGCCUGAGAGGGUGAGAGCCCCGUAGGGUGCUGCGCGAAGCUUUUGAGGCCCUGCUGACGAGUCGAGUUGUUUGGGAAUGCAGCUCCAAGCGGGUGGUAAAUUCCAUCUAAGGCUAAAUAUUGGCGAGAGACCGAUAGCGAACAAGUACUGUGAAGGAAAGAUGAAAAGCACUUUGAAAAGAGAGUGAAACAGCACGUGAAAUUGUUGAAAGGGAAGGGUAUUGGGCUCGACAUGGGGGGUGCGCACCGCUGUCUCUUGUAGGCGGCGCUCUGGGCGCCCUCUGGGCCAGCAUCGGUUCCUGCUGCGGGAGAAGGGGCUCCGGAAAGUGGCUCUUCGGAGUGUUAUAGCCGGGGCCAGAUGCCGCGUGUGGGGACCGAGGACUGCGGCUUCUGUCUCGGAUGCUGGCAUAACGGCGCAAUACCGCCCGUCUUGAACC